rnacentral:rRNA from 1 species
AACGUAGGAGACAAACGUUAUCCGGAGUUACUGGGCGUAAAGGGCGUGUAGGUGGUAGAGUAAGUCUGGCGUGAAAUUUUUCGGCUUAACCGGGAAAGGUCGUCGGAUACUGCUUAACUAGAGGACGGUAGAGGCGUGUGGAAUUCCGGGUGUAGUGGUGAAAUGCGUAGAGAUCCGGAGGAACACCAGUGGCGAAGGCGAAUCCCUGGAAAAUACCUGACACUGAGGCACGAAAGCUAGGGGAGCAAACAGG